rnacentral:rRNA from 1 species
UACAGAGGGGGCAAGCGUUGUUCGGAAUUACUGGGCGUAAAGGGCGCGUAGGCGGCCUUCUAAGUCGAACGUGAAAUCCCCGGGCUCAACCCGGGAACUGCGUCCGAUACUGGAAGGCUUGAAUCCGGGAGAGGGAUGCAGAAUUCCAGGUGUAGCGGUGAAAUGCGUAGAUAUUAGGAAGAACACCAGAGGCGAAGGCGGCUCACUGGUCCGGUACUGACGCUGAGGUGCGAAAGCGUGGGGAGCAAACAGG